UACGGGAGGCAGCAGUGGGGAAUAUUGCACAAUGGGCGCAAGCCUGAUGCAGCCAUGCCGCGUGUAUGAAAAAGGCCUUCGGGUUGUAAAGUACUUUCAGUCGUGAGGAAGGUGUUAAGGUUAAUAACCUUAGCAAUUGACGUUAGCGACAGAAGAAGCACCGGCUAACUCCGUGCCAGCAGCCGCGGUAAUACGGAGGGUGCGAGCGUUAAUCGGAAUUACUGGGCGUAAAGGGCACGCAGGCGGUUAAUUAAGUUGGAUGUGAAAUCCCCGGGCUUAACCUGGGAAUGGCAUUCAAGACUGGUUAGCUAGAGUCUUGUAGAGGGGGUAGAAUUCCAUGUGUAGCGGUGAAAUGCGUAGAGAUGUGGAGGAAUACCGGUGGCGAAGGCGGCCCCUGGACAAAGACUGACGCUCAUGUGCGAAAGCUGGGGAGCAAACAGGGAUUAGGAU
rnacentral:rRNA from 1 species